rnacentral:rRNA from 1 species
UACGUAGGGGGCUAGCGUUGUCCGGAAUCAUUGGGCGUAAAGAGCGUGUAGGCGGCCCGGUAAGUCCGCUGUAAAAGUCAAAGGCUCAACCUUUGAAUGUCAGUGGAUACUGCCGGGCUAGAGUCCGGAAGGGGCGAGUGGAACUCCUGGUGUAGCGGUGGAAUGCGCAGAUAUCAGGAAGAACACCGGUGGCGAAGGCGGCUCUCUGGGCCUUACCUGACGCGUGAGGAAGCGAAGCGUGGGUAGCGAACAGG